rnacentral:lncRNA from 1 species
UCUGUAAUCCCAGUGAGCCACCGCGCCUGGCCCAUCAGAUGCUUCAGGUGACUACAGCCAGCUCCAGAGGUUCCAAAGAUCUUAAAGAUGUCCCAGAAAAGUUCUAGAGUACUAUCAGAUCUCACACUUUGCCUUGGAAGCUGUCAUUCCCCUCCAUUGGCCCCACAACUGCAGUAUAAUCUUCAGUGACAGGAGAAAAUCGACCUUGUUUGUACAGAAGUCUCAGCAGGAAUAGGCAGAUGCCUGUUUUUGCUGCCAAGGAUGGAGGAUUGGAAUGGGCCCAUUAUAUAUUUUGAGGCUUUGAAGAAAAGUCUCAGGAUAUGUUUUCCCAUUAAAAUACUGUUAUAAACAAUUAGA